rnacentral:rRNA from 1 species
UACGUAGGUGGCAAGCGUUGUCCGGAUUUACUGGGCGUAAAGAGCGCGCAGGCGGUCGUUCAAGUCGCGUGUGAAAGCCCCCGGCUCAACUGGGGAGGGUCACUUGAUACUGAUCGACUCGAAGGCAGGAGAGGGAAGCGGAAUUCCCGGUGUAGUGGUGAAAUGCGUAGAUAUCGGGAGGAACACCCGUAGCGAAGGCGGCCGACUGGACCACACCUGACGCUGAGGCGCGAAGGCCAGGGGAGCGAACGGG